AGUGAACGCUGGCGGUAGGCCUAACACAUGCCAGUCGAACGGCAGCACAGUAAGAGCUUGCUCUUACGGGUGGCGAGUGGCGGACGGGUGAGGAAUACAUCGGAAUCUACUUUUUCGUGGGGGAUAACGUAGGGAAACUUACGCUAAUACCGCAUACGACCUACGGGUGAAAGCAGGGGAUCUUCGGACCUUGCGCGAUUGAAUGAGCCGAUGUCGGAUUAGCUAGUUGGCGGGGUAAAGGCCCACCAAGGCGACGAUCCGUAGCUGGUCUGAGAGGGUGAUCAGCCACACUGGAACUGAGACACGGUCCAGACUCCUACGGGAGGCAGCAGUGGGGAAUAUUGGACAAUGGGCGCAAGCCUGAUCCAGCCAUACCGCGUGGGUGAAGAAGGCCUUCGGGUUGUAAAGCCCUUUUGUUGGGAAAGAAAGGCAGCAGGUUAAUACCCCGCUGUUCUGACGGUACCCAAAGAAUAAGCACCGGCUAACUUCGUG
rnacentral:rRNA from 1 species